GUGUACUUAGCUCAAUGGUUAGAGCAUCACUCAUGAAUGCUGAGUAUGUGAGUUUGACUCUCACAGCACACG
rnacentral:tRNA from 1 species